UACGAAGGGGGCUAGCGUUGCUCGGAAUCACUGGGCGUAAAGCGCACGUAGGCGGAUUGCUAAGUCAGGGGUGAAAUCCUGGAGCUCAACUCCAGAACUGCCUUUGAUACUGGCGACCUUGAGUCCGGGAGAGGUGAGUGGAACUGCGAGUGUAGAGGUGAGAUUCGUAGAUAUCGGGAGGAACACCAGUGGCGAAGGCGGCUACCUGGCCCAUUCUUGACGCUGAGGCGCGAAAGCUAGGGGAGCAAACGGG
rnacentral:rRNA from 1 species